AGAGAUCCCUCUCUGAAAGGGGGUAUGUAGAAGGCUGUGAGGAAGCCACAUGCUGUUUUUCAUCUCCCAGCAUUGUACCCUUACUCCUCCUCUUUAUAUUGAAGUAACACAGUGAAACAUGCUGUGUGUAUCUGGGGGAGGAGAGGAAAACAGAGAAGUUGCAACUAUGGGGAUGGAUUUGGAGCAAUCCAGAUUUCAUUUGCCCCCUUUCCACAAGAAGGUUGUGGAAGCUGUGCUCCUGACCCAUUUGUUCUUCCAUUACGCUGUAAUGUUUGGAAAAAUACACAGCAGGAUUUAUGGAAAGUGCUUCAAAGCCUAAUUUUCCUCUCCAAAUCUCCAGCAGGUAUCUCUCCGAGCUCCGCUUCACAUGAGGAGUACGUGCAGCUGACCUCCUGAACUGGGCAUGGAAGAAGCAGAGAAAGCCAAAUCUCUCUCUGUUGUGCUCAGGCCUUGGAAUCACCCAAGGUCACUACUGCAAAACACAGCGUGCCCUGAGGACCUCCCCAGCCUUUCUGCACAGGUGACCUAACAGGAAAGCUAAGUGGAACUUUGGGUUGGUGGUGAUAUGCAGGCCAACCCAAAGACAACUGAAUCUGACUCAUUUCCUUUAUCAUUACCUUUUUAACCCUUUAAAGAUCAGCCUUUGUAACCAAUAAAAUUGAUCAUGCAUGCCUUCACUGUUCAGACUUGCUGUGUAUUCAGCAGCUGUUUUCUAACUUACAGUAUCUCUUGUGUUUUGUCCCUGAAUUCCAUGCAGUCUGUGACUCCCAUAUGGACAAACUUGUCUGUCCUUGAUAUGAAAUUUGGUCUCAGCUUUGGCAGUUUGCAAGUCUACACUACAGCAUAUCUUUAAAAAGGAAAACCAGCAGCUGCAACUAACCAGAACGUUCUGCAUCACCUUCAACUACUGUAGCCCUUUUGAUACUGAUAGCAGAGAGUUUUUUAAUAACUAUCUCUAUUUACCCGCAUGUUCUUUGAGGUGUGAGCUGGCUCAUGAUGAUGACAGUAUCCACUGAGGACCAGAAAGCUAUAAACAGUACUAUAAACUCAAAGAUGUGUGUAUAGCACCAGAGGUAAAGCAUUCCCAUACUGACGUGGAAUCUAAUUCCAGCCAAUGAUUUGUAACAAUCAUGAACUUAACCUGGAAGGAGACAGGUAAGCAGUCAUGUGAGGUAAAUGGGCUUUGUCUCCCCAAAGCCUUCUCUCUUGAAAUGAUUUCCUCAUUAAUGCACUCCUUCCUAAAUUCUACUUUAGCUCUCAUUUGCAUUUUUGAGUUCUUAAGGCUGUUUUCAGAUGUACUGUAUACACGCCAAAGGCCAUGUAAAUGCAGGCUCUACUCUGAGCUCAGUGAACUUCAGCCAAUUUAUUCUAGUUGAGUAACUGUCCAGGUGAAUCCAGAUUUCUUUACUCAUUUUUCAGCAGAAUAAACUGUAAUCAGCCUCUCUGUAAAUAUGCAUCUUAUAUACCCAAUAUUAACUAGAUCUAAUCAGCUUAAUUAUGUGGUUAAUAAUAAUUCAAGUUCAUGCAGCAUAAUCUUCUAUUUAAAGUGGGUACAAUAUUUUACAGUAUCUGAAAAAUGGCUUGGCUUAAUAAACAGAUGGAAGAAAAAUAUCUUUAAAAAGAGAAUUAAAGGACAACUCUUGAAUGCAGAUUGCAGCAUUACCCAAAGAACAUUCACACACAAAUCCUUCUUCCAGAGAAGUGCUGCACAACAGGCGUUCACCAACAAAAGGAUUUUCAAUACUAUUUGAAAUCCUGUUCUGGCUUCUACAGUGCAAAUCUGUCUCCUCAUCUGCAGGAGAGCUCAAAAACAGUACAGUUGUGUUCUACUGUGCAAGUGCCAACCCUACGGCAGUGCCAAUUCUGUACUGUAUAAACCGUUUUGUAUCUCUAUUUCUACCUGCUAUCUCUUUUGCCUCACUGGUACAAACAAAUGUUGUUUUGGUGCAAGGCACUGCAGAAUGAGUCUGGAUGCAUUGGCAUACUUCUGAGUUCACUUCCUGAACCGUAUUAAUAUCUAAUAAUUAAAAACCGUUUUCAAAUACUUAAAAUUCAUGUUUCACUAAAGAUGGUUAUACCCAACACCCACAUUUUGACCACUUUUGGUUUAUAAUUAUCCUUUUCUAAUUCUUCCAUAUUUACUUAUUGUAACUCUAUAUAUCAUAUACAGCAUUUAAUGCUAUAUUUUAAACUGCAGACAGCAAAUCAAAAUGCUUCAGCUCUGUUUUUCAUGGUUCAGACAUGUCUGAAAUAUAAUGAGAGCAGGGAUUUGUCUGCCCUGAUUUAAUUACUACAAUCCAGAUAACUCUGUCAAUCAAUUUUUCUCCUUGUGACUCCUGGCAGGGUGAAAAAUGCCUUCAUUAUAAGGACUGAUCAUUAGUGGAUGUGAAGUUGAGAAGAUGAUGAAGAUGAGUUGUUGGGUCUGGCAGAGAAUUGACCCAUCAGUGUCAUUAAGUGAACUGCGGCAAGCCCAGCAAUUCCCAUGGGGCAAAUCAUUGAAUUCCUCAGGAGCAAAGGUCUGUGUCUGUCUAUACCAAAGCACUUUGAAAUGUACACACAUGCAGUUUGCAGUAGUCUGAUGGAUAACUAAACAAUUACACAGGCAGUAACUGAUUUGUCCUUCUCUUUUCAUGAAAGAAACAACCUUUAAGGUACUGUGUUUUAGUUUCCUUUCUAUGUGACGGUUUAAAUAACGUUUAUAUCCACUGCCCUUUCAACUCUGUAUUACCAAAGUUCAGCUCCAAGCUGCAUCCACCUCCCAACACACAAAAGCUCUGUAUUAAAAAUGUUAAUUGCAA